CUGUGAGUUUUCUGAGAGUGUCUCAUAUCUAAAACUCCUUCUCCUAUUUCUCAUUUUUGGAAGAGUUCAAAUCAAGAAGAAGAAGGCAUCUGAUCAACCAUCGAAGAAGGAUCAGCAUAGUACUAGUAUACUAUGCUAAUUUCCUGGAUCAGGACUUUUGAUCGUAAUUCGUGGGCUCAUGUGGAUGACUCCUAGAGGUC
rnacentral:lncRNA from 1 species